UACGGAGGGUGCAAGCGUUGUCCGGAUUUAUUGGGUUUAAAGGGCGCGUAGGCGGCUUUGCAAGUGACGGGUGAAAUCCCUCGGCUUAACCGAGGAACUGCCUGUCAGACUGCAUGGCUUGAGACCGGGAGAGGUGAGUGGAAUUCCCAGUGUAGCGGUGAAAUGCGUAGAUAUUGGGAGGAACACCAGUGGCGAAGGCGGCUCACUGGACCGGUACUGACGCUGAGGCGCGAAAGCGUGGGGAGCAAACAGG
rnacentral:rRNA from 1 species